AUGUACAUUCCUACAAUACAAUGUUUAUGCACCAGAUCCCAUUAUAACUCUGCAUUUAAGCAUGCUUGGGCUAGAAUAGUACUGGGAUGGGUGAUCGCCUGGGAAGUCCUAGUGUUUUACAUG
rfam:Picea glauca, whole genome shotgun sequence.